rnacentral:rRNA from 1 species
UCCUACGGGAGGCAGCAGUGGGGAAUAUUGCACAAUGGGCGCAAGCCUGAUGCAGCGACGCCGCGUGGGGGAUGACGGCAUUCGGGUUGUAAACCUCUUUCACCAUCGACGAAGGUUCGGGUUUUCUCGGAUUGACGGUAGGUGCAGAAGAAGCACCGGCCAACUACGUGCCAGCAGCCGCGGUAAUACGUAGGGUGCGAGCGUUGUCCGGAAUUACUGGGCGUAAAGAGCUCGUAGGUGGUUUGUCGCGUUGUUCGUGAAAUCUCACGGCUUAACUGUGAGCGUGCGGGCGAUACGGGCAGACUAGAGUACUGCAGGGGAGACUGGAAUUCCUGGUGUAGCGGUGGAAUGCGCAGAUAUCAGGAGGAACACCGGUGGCUAAGGCGGGUCUCUGGGCAGAAACUGACACUGAGGAUCGAAAGCGUGGGUAGCUAGCAGGAUUAGAUACCCUGGUAGA